rnacentral:rRNA from 1 species
UACGAAGGGGGCUAGCGUUGUUCGGAAUCACUGGGCGUAAAGCGCGCGUAGGCGGAUUGUUAAGUCGGGGGUGAAAUCCCUCGGCUUAACCGGGGAACUGCGUCUGAUACUGGAUGGCUUGAAUCCGGGGAUAGGGAUGCGGAAUUCCAGGUGUAGCGGUGAAAUGCGUAGAUAUCUGGAGGAACACCGGUGGCGAAGGCGGCAUCCUGGACCGGCAUUGACGCUGAGGAGCGAAAGCCAGGGGAGCAAAGCGGG